AAAGAAACGAAGGAGAGAUAAAACUGAAGAUCUCACAGUGAAACAGAAUGAUCUCUAUUCUGACGCGUCACAGAGAGUUUCAGUCCAUGACGAGCCUCUUUCUGAACCGGAUUCAGCCAAUGAUGCUCCAAAGAGAUUCAGAGGAAAAACUCCUGAAUCCAGAGAUACUGAGGAGAUCCAGUACGCAACUGUCCAUCAUCACAGAAAGAAAGAGACAAAGAGAGAAGAGGAGAAUGAAAACCAGUACGACAAUAUAAGAGUUCAUCAGCCUGAUGCUGCCGUGAGGCAAUCAGCUGUUGAAACUGUGGAAGACGCAUCAGUGAUCUACAGCAGCGUCAAAUGAGAGACAGACCGUCAUGAAGCCUGUGCUCAAUCGUUAAAUGAAAGAUUGUUUGAUAAUUGUAUAUUUGUGAAAUAAUUUACCCAUUGGUUCAUACCACAACCAACAUGUUCAACAUCCACAUUAAGUAAGACUCAUUUGUUCUCUUUGACUCUGUGUGAAAGAAUGAUGGUCAUUAUGUGCUGGAUUGGUGUAGUCUGUUUCUUAUUUGUUUUAGGGGUUUUUUUUGUUUUGUUUUGUGUGUGUGUGUGUGUGUGUGUGUG